UUGGGGUAGAGCAUCUGGAGUCCGUAAACCCCUAUGAAUAUGAGGAAGACAGACAGGGGCCUGGUGAUCAGCACCCCCAGGCAGUACGACCCACAGGAGGCAGAGGAACUGGCACCCGGGGAACUGGAGGCAGAGGAACUGGCAUCUGGGUCCCAGCUUGGAGUCCAGUCAUACCCUGUGUGUGAGCGGGGGAAAGGUGCCAUUAGAGAGGGCUGCUGUAAAUGGUAAAUGGACUGCAUUUAUAUAGCGCUUUUAUCCAAAGCGCUUUACAAUUGAUGCCUCUCAUUCACCAGAGCAGUUAGGGGUUAGGUGUCUUGCUCAGGGACACUUCGACACGCCCAGGGCGGGGAUCGAACCGGAAACCCUCCGACUGCCGGACGACCGCUCUUACCUCCUGAGCUAUGUCGCCCCCAUGCUGUGAGAUGCUAAACGCCUGGGGAAAGUGCAGCUGGCAGUACUCUCGUGUCAUCAGGCCUGUUAACGUGGGCUACAUCCCAAGCUGCUACAUCCUGUGCAAGUGCUUGGCAAAUCCCACUAGUAUAGGCCAGUGGUCUCCAACCAUGGUCCUGGAGAGCUGCAGGGUCUGCCGAUUUUCACGGUGACUCUGCACUUCACGAAUCAAUUAGAGCAGCUGAUUGCACGGUUAACUCAACUCACCUGGUGCCUUGGGUCUCGAUUGGGUGCUGAUUUUAAGGUGAAAACAAAAACCAGCAGACCCUGUAGCUCUCCAAGACCAGGGUUGGAGACCACUGGUAGUGGUAUAGGCUAUCCAUGAAUUAGUGUAGUUAUUUUAAUGUGUUAAUCGUUUGUUUUCCAGGUGAGGUCAUUCUUGUGUCUUACAGUCACGGUUCAAGAAGCUCGUAUGGUGAUGACUUACGUUUCAGUUGGUCUCGUUUCGCGUCGCCUGUCGGAAAGGAAAGCUGACGUCAGGGCCUGUGCCGUUAUUCAGGUGAAAUAUUUGAAUUACAAAAGGGGAGGAGAGUGGAGUGAAACAUGCUUCUCUGGCAGUGGGAUAAAAUGUGUGGAACUUUUUCUCUGGCUCGGGCCGAGGAAGUAACGUUUAACAAAUGCAGUAAUCCCGACUUUGUCACGGACGGUGGUCUGUCAAAAAAAUCAGCCUCAAAUCGAGUGCAAAAUUUGUGCGUGUGCGAGCGACGCGUUUAGGGGGGAAAUGAACUCACGGCAGAGAUUGUUCUCGCACGUUCCACCACCACAUUCACUGCAGGAUUGUCCAGCUAUGAAAGGAUGGACCCCCACAUAAUUCCCUCUGGCCGAAGAAAAGACAAAAUAUGCUCAGUUCCUAAAAUCAGUCCUGUGCAAAAUGGUGAUAUCGCUAAAUUGUUAUUAAAGGCAUACUAUGCAAGAUUUUUUUUUUUUUAAAGCCUUGAUGUGUUUACAAUCAAAGAUGUCUACCCUCCUCCUACAUCAGUACCGUCAAAUGAACUGUUUAUAUGUAAAUUACUUACGCAUCUCCGUAGUUACACACAAAUAUGGCUCCUGGGCGGUCGGCAAAGUUGGUGAACUCUACUCCGUUUGGACAAGCUUGCACUGCACAGCCAACUUUAUAACUUUUGGCCCAAACGACCUAGACAGUGGGGUUAUGGAAUGAAAUUUAAUCAACCCUCUGGUUAUACAGUUAUUGGUUAUGCAGUCAAAUUAUCAUUUGAACUUGACUGCCAUAGAGAAAAAUAAAAAAUCAAAUCUGUAUAUACAUACUGUAUAUCUGUCUUUUGUAGACCAAGAUGAAAUAAUCGUUAAUGUGAUUGAACCCCAAAAAUGCACUACACGCUAAUGACAGAACCAGGACCACUAUGCCAUUUCUUAACUGUGAGAAUCAAAAGUGGUCAAACAGCCCGAAAGGGGGACAGUACCUGCGUGUAAUGUCCACAUACGUUUGUGCACCCGUUAGAGGAAUAGUCAUAGUGUGCCACUUCAUCGCACCACAGCUUCAUUGCUCCCUCGACUGUGAAAGUGGAAUAUGGCGCCCCGACCCAGAUAUUUUCGCCCACGGAAUUAAAAGUGGGGUGCACCUCCCUCGGGGUCUCUAAUCGGGGGUUAUGGAUGAAUUUGCAGUGCCUCGCCCAGGCUCUAGCGGUUAUGGCCAGUGCGUCAUCCCAUGUCUGGAAGGAAGAAACAAUACUUGGAUUAUUGAUAAAGAAGAAGCGACGUAGAAGAAGUCAAAUUCUGCAUAACCCACGUUUCAUCUUUAAAUGUAUUUUGUCCAGAUUUUUCAAUAGAAUUUUGCAUUGCAUCUAUAAUAAUGGACAGCUCAGGGUUCGUUCGUUCCACUGUCUUUACGGAGCCUGGCAGACCUGAUACAGACAGAGAAAGCUCUGCAGUGUCUUGUUUUGCAGGGGUUUCAGAUUGCAACUGAGAUUAACGGGGCAAUGCAAACAGAGAAUGCCGUUGUUGGCAUGUUGACGAGUGCGACUAAAUUCCUUAUUUCGUAAAUGCAGGAAUGUAAUAAACACGGGAUUCACAUUUA